UCCACCUUCGGGUCGUUUUAUCCGCCGUGGGCGCCGUCGCGCCACCGUUGAACGAGAGCGUCAUCGCAUCGUUUAUUCCGUUUAUUCGUUCAUCGUUUUCGUCCCAUGUGAACUUCAUGGGUUUUGACAUAUUUGUGGAGUGUUUCAAUUCCUUAUCCUCUUUUUCAAUUAGAUUCAUUUUGAAGAAGGAAAAUAAGCUGGAUUUGUUUUUUAAUGUGUAUGAUUACAGUAGAAAUUUGAAUUGCUUGAAUGGAAUGGUGGAGAAGACGUGAAUGGCACUGACAGAUAUGGCUCCUAAAUGACGUGAAUGGCAAAGGGGCUCCUAAAACCCAAAAUUUUCAAAUCGGAGGGCAAUGGCAGAUAAAAUCCCACAUGGCCUUCGAUUAAAUUUCCCUCAUGGAAUCAACGAUGUCCAAACUCAACGAAUUGUAGAAACAAGAAUUAGUAGAGGAAGGAGCCUUUACCUUUUGCCAAUAAAUAAAAGAGUAAUGAUAUAUACACACCUCAUUUUUUAAACACUUCAUUUUCACCUCUUUUUAUUUAUAUCUCUCUCA
rnacentral:lncRNA from 1 species